rnacentral:rRNA from 1 species
UACGUAGGGACCAAGCGUGGUUCGGAUUUACGGGGCGUAAAGGGCGCGUAGGCGGCAUAUUAAGUCAGCUGUGAAAUCUCCGAGCUUAACUCGGAACUGUCAGCUGAUACUGAUGUGCUAGAGUGCAGAAGGGGCAAUCGGAAUUCUUGGUGUAGCGGUGAAAUGCGUAGAUAUCAAGAGGAACACCUGAGGUGAAGACGGGUUGCUGGGCUGACACUGACGCUGAUAGCGCGAAAGCCAGGGGAGCAAACGGG